GAUGAACGCUGGCGGCGUGCCUAAUACAUGCAAGUCGAGCGAACGGACGAGAAUCUUGCUUCUCUGCUGUUAGCGGCGGACGGGUGAGUAACACGUGGCUACCCUACCUUUAAGACUGGGAUCCCUACGGGAAACCGGAUCUCAUACCGGUUAAUAUUUUGAAACGCAUGGUUCAUAAGUCAUAGCCGGUCUUGCUGUCACUUAUAGAUGUAUCCUGGCUGCAUUAGCUAGUUGGUACGGUAACGGCUUACCAAGGCUACGAUGCAUAGCCGGCCUGAGAGGAUGAUCAGCCACACUGGAACUGAGACACGGUCCAGACUCCUACGGGAGGCAGCAGUAGGGAAUCUUCCGCAAUGGGCGAAAGCCUGAUGGAGCAACGCCGCGUGAGUGAUGAAGGUCUUCGGAUCGUAAAACUCUGUUAUUAGGGAAGAACAGAUGUGUGAGUAACUGUGCACAUCUUGACGGUACCUAAUCAAAAAGCCACGGCUAACUACGUG
rnacentral:rRNA from 1 species